UCCAGACUCCUACGGGAGGCAGCAGUGGGGAAUAUUGCACAAUGGGGGAAACCCUGAUGCAGCGACGCCGCGUGAGCGAUGAAGUAUUUCGGUAUGUAAAGCUCUAUCAGCAGGGAAGAAGAUGACGGUACCUGACUAGGAAGCCCCGGCUAACUACGUGCCAGCAGCCGCGGUAAUACGUAGGGGGCAAGCGUUAUCCGGAUUUACUGGGUGUAAAGGGAGCGUAGACGGCGAUGCAAGCCAGAUGUGAAAGCCCGGGGCUCAACCCCGGGACUGCAUUUGGAACUGUGUGGCUGGAGUGCAGGAGGGGCAGGCGGAAUUCCUGGUGUAGCGGUGAAAUGCGUAGAUAUCAGGAGGAACACCGGUGGCGAAGGCGGCCUGCUGGACUGCAACUGACGUUGAGGCCCGAAAGCGUGGGGAGCAAACAGGAUUAGAUACCCGAGUACA
rnacentral:rRNA from 1 species